AAUGAACGCUGGCGGCGCGCCUAAUACAUGCAAGUCGAGCGAGAAGACGUAGCAAUACGUUUGUAAAGCGGCGAACGGGUGAGGAAUACAUGGGUAACCUACCCUAGAGUGGGGAAUAACUAGCCGAAAGGUUAGCUAAUACCGCGUACGCUCCUUGGACUUCGGUUCAGGGAGGAAAGCGAUGCCGAGGGUAUCGCGCUCUUGGAUGGGCUCAUGUCCUAUCAGCUUGUUGGGAGGUAACGGCUCACCAAGGCUUCGACGGGUAGCUGGUCUGAGAGGACGAUCAGCCACACUGGCACUGCGACACGGGCCAGACUCCUACGGGAGGCAGCAGUAAGGAAUAUUGCGCAACGGGCGAAAGCCUGACGCAGCGACGCCGCGUGGGGGAGUGAAGGUCUUCGGAUUG
rnacentral:rRNA from 1 species